CCUACGGGGGGCUGCAGUGAGGAAUAUUGGUCAAUGGACGAGAGUCUGAACCAGCCAAGUAGCGUGAAGGAUGACUGCCCUAUGGGUUGUAAACUUCUUUUAUAUGGGAAUAAAAUGUUCCACGUGUGGGAUUUUGUAUGUACCAUAUGAAUAAGGAUCGGCUAACUCCGUGCCAGCAGCCGCGGUAAUACGGAGGAUCCGAGCGUUAUCCGGAUUUAUUGGGUUUAAAGGGAGCGUAGGUGGAUUGUUAAGUCAGUUGUGAAAGUUUGCGGCUCAACCGUAAAAUUGCAGUUGAAACUGGCAGUCUUGAGUACAGUAGAGGUGGGCGGAAUUCGUGGUGUAGCGGUGAAAGGCUUAGAUAUCACGAAGAACUCCGAUUGCGAAGGCAGCUCACUGGACUGCAACUGACACUGAGGCUCGAAAGUGUGGGUAUCAAACAGGAUUAGAUACCCCAGUAGUC
rnacentral:rRNA from 1 species